rnacentral:tRNA from 1 species
GGAGAGGUGGGUGAGUGGCUGAAACCACCAGUUUGCUAAACUGACGUACUCGAACAGGGUACCGGGGGUUCGAAUCCCCCCCUCUCCGCCA